UACGUAGGGGGCAAGCGUUGUCCGGAAUCAUUGGGCGUAAAGAGCGCGUAGGCGGCCCUGUAAGUCCGCUGUGAAAGUCAAGGGCUCAACCCUUGAAUGCCGGUGGAUACUGCAGGGCUAGAGUCCGGAAGAGGCGAGUGGAAUUCCUGGUGUAGCGGUGAAAUGCGCAGAGUAUCAGGAGGAACACCGAUGGCGAAGGCAGCUCGCUGGGACGGUACUGACGCUGAGGCGCGAAAGCGUGGGAGCAAACAGG
rnacentral:rRNA from 1 species